rnacentral:lncRNA from 1 species
CUGCAACAAGAAAUAUUUAUGGUUAAAGAAUGUUGCAGCAGUAUAGUAUAGAUAGAGCAAUAUCUCAGUAGAGAAAAUCUAUGGAUUUGAAUGGAUUACUUUGGUGGCAGAUCACUUCAAAAUAUUUAUCAUUUUCCUGUACCAUUGUCUGAAUUACAAAUAGCCUGUCUGCAAACAGACCUUAGAGGGUCUUGCCUAUUUGCAUACUAAAGGCUAAAUGCAUAUAGAUAUCAAAGGUGCAAAUAUCUUUUGAAAGAGCCAUGAUGAUGUAAAAUUAGCUGAUUCUUGUGUGGUUGUAUAAAUAACAGCUACUAUUGCAAAGAGGAGCUACUGGGGAACA